rnacentral:rRNA from 1 species
CCUACGGGAGGCAGCAGUGGGGAAUAUUGCACAAUGGGCGCAAGCCUGAUGCAGCGACGCCGCGUGAGGGAUGACGGCCUUCGGGUUGUAAACCUCUUUCAGUAGGGAAGAAGCGAAAGUGACGGUACCUGCAGAAGAAGCACCGGCUAACUACGUGCCAGCAGCCGCGGUAAUACGUAGGGUGCGAGCGUUAUCCGGAAUUAUUGGGCGUAAAGAGCUCGUAGGCGGUUUGUCGCGUCUGUCGUGAAAGUCCGGGGCUUAACCCCGGAUCUGCGGUGGGUACGGGCAGACUAGAGUGCAGUAGGGGAGACUGGAAUUCCUGGUGUAGCGGUGGAAUGCGCAGAUAUCAGGAGGAACACCGAUGGCGAAGGCAGGUCUCUGGGCUGUAACUGACGCUGAGGAGCGAAAGCAUGGGGAGCGAACAGGAUUAGAUACCCUGGUAG